UAGAAUAUACCGGUUCUCGUUAGAUCACCGAAGUCAAGCGUCAUUGGGCGCGGUUAGUACGCGGGGUGGGUUACCACCUGAACACUGCGCCGUUGA